rnacentral:lncRNA from 1 species
CUGGGACCUCUCUGGAGACUUCCUGAACCCUGUGGAUUUACAGUAAGAUGCAGUUUCCUGGGGAGUAAUUCUGGUGGAUACAAAUUCCGGAGUAUUACACCUGGCUUGCCUGGAGAUGUUACAAGUAGCUGGAUGGAUUCUUCAGCCUGGAUGCCCACUGAAAACAAGGACCGAAACUAAGAGGAUUGUAUCUCUACCCUUGACUCAAUGAGAAUGUUUGUUGUCAUCUCUCGGGCUACCUGGAGCUCCCUCUAAAAUAGACCCUAUCUCGUGUCACCUAGGCUG